rnacentral:rRNA from 1 species
UGCAAGUAGAACGCUGAAGAGAGGAGCUUGCUCUUCUUGGAUGAGUUGCGAACGGGUGAGUAACGCGUAGGUAACCUGCCUUGUAGCGGGGGAUAACUAUUGGAAACGAUAGCUAAUACCGCAUAACAAUGGAUGACACAUGUCAUUUAUUUGAAAGGGGCAAUUGCUCCACUACAAGAUGGACCUGCGUUGUAUUAGCUAGUAGGUGAGGUAAUGGCUCACCUAGGCGACGAUACAUAGCCGACCUGAGAGGGUGAUCGGCCACACUGGGACUGAGACACGGCCCAGACUCCUACGGGAGGCAGCAGUAGGGAAUCUUCGGCAAUGGGGGCAACCCUGACCGAGCAACGCCGCGUGAGUGAAGAAGGUUUUCGGAUCGUAAAGCUCUGUUGUAAGUCAAGAACGGGUGUGAGAGUGGAAAGUUCACACUGUGACGGUAGCUUACCAGAAAGGGACGGCUAACUACGUGCCAGCAGCCGCGGUAAUACGUAGGUCCCGAGCGUUGUCCGGAUUUAUUGGGCGUAAAGCGAGCGCAGGCGGUUUGAUAAGUCUGAAGUUAAAGGCUGUGGCUCAACCAUAGUUCGCUUUGGAAACUGUCAAACUUGAGUGCAGAAGGGGAGAGUGGAAUUCCAUGUGUAGCGGUGAAAUGCGUAGAUAUAUGGAGGAACACCGGUGGCGAAAGCGGCUCUCUGGUCUGUAACUGACGCUGAGGCUCGAAAGCGUGGGGAGCGAACAGGAUUAGAUACCCUGGUAGUCCACGCCGUAAACGAUGAGUGCUAGGUGUUGGAUCCUUUCCGGGAUUCAGUGCCGCAGCUAACGCAUUAAGCACUCCGCCUGGGGAGUACGACCGCAAGGUUGAAACUCAAAGGAAUUGACGGGGGCCCGCACAAGCGGUGGAGCAUGUGGUUUAAUUCGAAGCAACGCGAAGAACCUUACCAGGUCUUGACAUCCCGAUGCUAUUUCUAGAGAUAGAAAGUUACUUCGGUACAUCGGUGACAGGUGGUGCAUGGUUGUCGUCAGCUCGUGUCGUGAGAUGUUGGGUUAAGUCCCGCAACGAGCGCAACCCCUAUUGUUAGUUGCCAUCAUUCAGUUGGGCACUCUAGCGAGACUGCCGGUAAUAAACCGGAGGAAGGUGGGGAUGACGUCAAAUCAUCAUGCCCCUUAUGACCUGGGCUACACACGUGCUACAAUGGUUGGUACAACGAGUUGCGAGUCGGUGACGGCGAGCUAAUCUCUUAAAGCCAAUCUCAGUUCGGAUUGUAGGCUGCAACUCGCCUACAUGAAGUCGGAAUCGCUAGUAAUCGCGGAUCAGCACGCCGCGGUGAAUACGUUCCCGGGCCUUGUACACACCGCCCGUCACACCACGAGAGUUUGUAACACCCGAAGUCGGUGAGGUAACCUUUUGGAGCCAGCCGCCUAAGGUGGGACAGA